UACGUAGGGACCAAGCGUUGUUCGGAUUUACUGGGCGUAAAGGGCGCGUAGGCGGCGCGGUAAGUCAGUUGUGAAAUCUCUGAGCUUAACUCAGAACGGCCAAGGGAUACUGGAGUGCUAGAGUGUGGAAGGGGCAAUCGGAAUUCUUGGUGUAGCGGUGAAAUGCGUAGAUAUCGAGAGGAACACCUGAGGUGAAGACGGGUUGCUGGGCCAACACUGACGCUGAUGCGCGAAAGCCAGGGGAGCAAACGGG
rnacentral:rRNA from 1 species